rnacentral:tRNA from 1 species
GCGGGUAUCACUCAGUGGUACAGCGUGUGCAUUGUGUGCACGAGGCCCUGGGUUCAAUCCCCACUACCUCCA